rnacentral:rRNA from 1 species
UUACCAGGUCUUGACAUCCUCUGACAAUCUGAGAGAUCAGACUUUCCCUUCGGGGACAGAGAGACAGGUGGUGCAUGGUUGUCGUCAGCUCGUGUCGUGAGAUGUUGGGUUAAGUCCCGCAACGAGCGCAACCCCUGUGGUUAGUUGCCAUCAUUUAGUUGGGCACUCUAAGCAGACUGCCGUGGAUAACACGGAGGAAGGUGGGGACGACGUCAAAUCAUCAUGCCCCUUAUGACCUGGGCUACACACGUGCUACAAUGGUCUGAACAGAGGGCUGCGAAACCGCGAGGUGAAGCUAAUCCCUUAAAACAGAUCUCAGUUCGGAUUGCAGGCUGCAACUCGCCUGCAUGAAGUUGGAGUUGCUAGUAAUCGCAGAUCAGAAUGCUGCGGUGAAUGCGUUCCCGGGUCUU